rnacentral:rRNA from 1 species
GAAGGUGGCGAGCGUUGUUCGGAAUCACUGGGCUUAAAGCGCGCGUAGGGCGGAAUAGAUAGUGUCUUGUGAAAGCCCCCGGCUCAACCGGGGAAUUGCUUGGCAUACUACUAUUCUUGAGGUAAGUAGGGGUACAUGGAACUCUUGGUGGAGCGGUGGAAUGCGUAGAUAUCAAGAGGAACGCCAAUGGUGAAGACAGUGUACUGGGCUUAUUCUGACGCUGAGGUGCGAAAGCGUGGGGAGCGAAAGGGAUUAGAUACCCCUGUAGUCCACGCCGUAAACGAUGUCUACUAGGUUGUGGAGGUUCUGACACCCUCACAGUCGAAGCAAAAGUGUUAAGUAGACCGCCUGGGAAGUACGGUCGCAAGGCUA